UACAGAGGUCUCAAGCGUUGUUCGGAAUUAUUGGGCGUAAAGCGCGUGUAGGCGGCUUUGCAAGUCGGGUGUGAAAGCCCUCAGCUUAACUGAGGAAGUGCGCCCGAAACUGCAUGGCUUGAAUACCGGAGAGGAUGGCGGAAUUCCCCAAGUAGAGGUGAAAUUCGUAGAUAUGGGGAGGAACACCGGUGGCGAAGGCGGCCAUCUGGACGGCUAUUGACGCUGAGACGCGAAAGCAUGGGGAGCAAACAGG
rnacentral:rRNA from 1 species